CCUACGGGGGGCUGCAGUGGGGAAUAUUGGACAAUGGGCGAAAGCCUGAUCCAGCCAUGCUGCGUGUGUGAAGAAGGCCUUCGGGUUGUAAAGCACUUUCAGUGGGGAAGAAAGCCUUGGGGCUAAUACCCUCGAGGAAGGACAUCACCCACAGAAGAAGCACCGGCUAACUCCGUGCCAGCAGCCGCGGUAAUACGGAUGGUGCGAGCGUUAAUCGGAAUUACUGGGCGUAAAGCGCGCGUAGGCGGUCUGAUAAGCCGGUUGUGAAAGCCCCGGGCUCAACCUGGGAACGGCAUCCGGAACUGUCAGGCUAGAGUGCAGGAGAGGAAGGUAGAAUUCCCGGUGUAGCGGUGAAAUGCGUAGAGAUCGGGAGGAAUACCAGUGGCGAAGGCGGCCUUCUGGACUGACACUGACGCUGAGGUGCGAAAGCGUGGGUAGCAAACAGGAUUAGAUACCCUAGUAGUC
rnacentral:rRNA from 1 species